AGAACUGAUAUUUCAAUGAGUGGAAUGAUGGGGUAACGCCCUGAAACGCUCACCCUGAUACUCCGAUAUGCGUUAGCUUGGCAAAAAGCAAAGCGUAUAAAGCUCGGUGAAGUCGGCUGAAAGCUACCGUAACUUCAAUAUAAUUUUUUUGGAAACGAAAGCUGCCCAGAGGUGGGUGGUGUAGCCGAUAGGUCGGGGGUCUAUAAA
rnacentral:ncRNA from 1 species